rnacentral:lncRNA from 1 species
GCCAUGUUGUAGAACAACAUUCUAAUGCUGUUGACCCUAAGUUGUCCAAUUAUUCAAAAUCCUAUAGUAACUUCUCUUAUAGUGAUUUCUCUUAUGGUGGAAGUAGCAGUAAGUACGGGAUACGACACUCCAAUGGGAGACAAUGAUUAGGUCAAUACUAGAAUAAAUUUUGAUAACUGAGAUUUGGAGUCAGAUGAGAAUGAAGCUAAAGAAGAAUGGCUUGAUGAGGAGAGUAACAAUGAUGAAGAUGAAGAUGGUGAUGAAGAUGAUCAGCC